UACGUAGGGGGCGAGCGUUACCCGGAUUUACUGGGCGUAAAGGGGGCGUAGGUGGCCGUGUAAGUCCGGUGUGAAAACUCACGGCUCAACCGUGGGACUGCGCUGGAAACUACACGGCUUGAGGACGGUAGAGGGAGACGGAACUGCUGGUGUAGGGGUGAAAUCCGUAGAUAUCAGCAGGAACGCCGGUGGAGAAGUCGGUCUCCUGGGCCGUUCCUGACGCUGAGGCCCGAAAGCUAGGGGAGCAAACCGG
rnacentral:rRNA from 1 species